UGUUGCGUUCCUAAACUGUAUGAGUCUCUUAUCUCUAUAUAUCUCACACAUAUAACAUGUGAGUCGAAUUCUUUUUUUUUUUUUAUUAACCUCAGGAGGAGUACCAUCUAGCGAUUAUAACUACACCAAUAGCUCUUAUCAAGUCUCCCUUUUCUCUCUUCAUCUUCAAAUCACGGUUCCAUUAUCCAUGUUCAAGUGAGUUAAUUAUAUAAUAAAGUGGGUUAAUUUUUGUUUUUAAGUUGUAGAGGAAGGAAGCAACGGAAAAGGUAUAAAAUAAAAUAAAAAGCUUCUUUGAUUUUCUCUUAUAUAUGUUAACUGCUUCUGUUUUCUAAGGUUUUUUGUCUCACCUAUUCGGUUUUCAGAAAAACUGUCUCUUUUGUUUUGGUCAAGGAUCUUUGGGAUUUCUCAAAAAGGUAUUGAUAAUUAAGAAGCAAAGGUACGUAUAUUAGGUAAGAAAUUAGAAGAUUUUAUGAUGUAUAGGAUAACCAAUGGAUUUUUAUUUGAAGAAUUAAAGUUUUGGAAAUAAUUUAGAGGAUGUGAAAUCCGGUGACCAGGUUAUUUUGAAGCUGUUCACUUUGAUGUCAAGUUCGUAUGCUGGUGUUCCUCCGGUGCUGGAAGACACCAUGGAUCAGCCUGGAUAUGAAUCUCCACGAUCUUCUUUUGGAUAUGUCCACUUCGUUGUUUCGUUGAUCAUCGCCAUGUUCUAGCAAACAUGUCAUCGGGUGAAUACGAAAGAGUAGGUUGGAUGUGUGUAAACCCUAAGUUUUUAUGAACCGGUUGGAUAGGAAGCACUCGAAUCCCAAAAGUUCAGUAGAUGUUAAAGGAUUUCUUCGAUGGCAAGGAACCCAACAAAGGAACUAACCCUGAUGAGGUUUUGGCCUAUACAACCGCCGUCCAAGGUGGAGUAUUAAGUGGUGAAGGUGGAGAAGAAACGCAAAGUAAGUGACUCUUUUUAACUCUCUUUAUGACAAUAGUUUAGACCAUCUAUAGUGU